rnacentral:rRNA from 1 species
UACGAAGGGGGCUAGCGUUGCUCGGAAUUACUGGGCGUAAAGCGCACGUAGGCGGCUUUCUAAGUCGGGGGUGAAAUCCUGGAGCUCAACUCCAGAACUGCCUUCGAUACUGGAGAGCUUGAGUCCGGGAGAGGUGAGUGGAACUGCGAGUGUAGAGGUGAAAUUCGUAGAUAUUCGCAAGAACACCAGUGGCGAAGGCGGCUCACUGGCCCGGUACUGACGCUGAGGUGCGAAAAGCG